GUGCUCACUUUGGCAUCACAUACUAAAAUUGGAACCAUACAGAGUCGAUUAGCACGGGCUGUAUGCAAGGAUGACACACAGAUUCGUGAAGUAGUCCAUAUUUUA
rnacentral:snRNA from 1 species